UUUGCUUAAAAUAAAAGGUCCAGCCUGCCCAGUGACACUGUUCAACGGCCGCGGUAUCCUAACCGUGCGAAGGUAGCGUAAUCACUUGUUCUUUAAAUGAGGACUAGUAUGAAAGGCACCACGAGAGUCAUACUGUCUCCUCUUUCCAAUCAGUUAAACUAAUCUCCCCGUGAAGAAGCGAGGAUAACUAUAUAAGACGAGAAGACCCUAUGGAGCUUUAAACGAAUAACACUUGCCCACUUACUCCUUUAAAUUUCAGAAAAAUCUAUUACCUUGGCAUCAUGCUUAUAAGUUUUUGAUUGGGGUGAUCACGGAACAAAAAAUAACCUCCGCAAUGAAAGACUCUCCAUAACUAAGUCAAGAACCACAACUCUACACAUCAACAAAUUGACACCAAUUGACCCAAUUUUUUGAUCAAUGAAC
rnacentral:rRNA from 1 species